UACGUAGGGUGCAAGCGUUAUCCGGAAUUAUUGGGCGUAAAGAGCUCGUAGGCGGUUUGUCGCGUCUGCUGUGAAAACCCGAGGCUCAACCUCGGGCCUGCAGUGGGUACGGGCAGACUAGAGUGCGGUAGGGGAGAUUGGAAUUCCUGGUGCAGCGGUGGAAUGCGCAGACAUCAGGAGGAACACCGAUGGCGAAGGCAGAUCUCUGGGCCGUAACUGACGCUGAGGAGCGAAAGCAUGGGGAGCGAACAGG
rnacentral:rRNA from 1 species